rnacentral:rRNA from 1 species
GACGAACGCUGGCGGCGUGCUUAACACAUGCAAGUCGAGCGGUAAGGCCCUUUCGGGGGUACACGAGCGGCGAACGAGUGAGUAACACGUGGGUGACCUGCCCUUAGCUCUGGGAUAAGCCUGGGAAACUGGGUCUAAUACCGGAUAUGACUCCAUAACGCAUGUUGUGGGGUGGAAAGCCUUGUGCGGCUAGGGAUGGGCCCGCGGCCUAUCAGCUUGUUGGUGGGGUGAUGGCCUACCAAGGCGACGACGGGUAGCCGGCCUGAGAGGGCGACCGGCCACACUGGGACUGAGACACGGCCCAGACUCC